UUGCCAGUGUACGAUUACAGUUCCGCGAUCACUGACGCCCGAACGGGGGAUGCCUCACUUUUGUUGCUGAUCUUCAUUAAAUUCAAUCGUUCGGCAACCCACCGGGGGUUGCAUCCCCAACGAUGACAGCUAGUGGUUUGUGUCGCAGCAAGAAGGUGGCUUUCUUAGCGGUCUGCGUUCUAUGGCUAAGCUGUAUCACUUCCCAAGCAUUAGUGAUGGAAGCGGGCGAAGGGUGCGAGUGGCAGUACGCGUGCUGCGAGUGGGUUCAAGUGAACGGAUCGUGCAAAAGCCUCUGCCCGAAGCCAACCAUUGUGUGUCCGGCGGAGGAAACAAGCACCAGCGAUCCGGUCAGGAAACACUCGCCGAAAGUGAUCGUGACCGCACCCUGCAAUGAAGGCUACCGGCGUGAUCACACCCAGCGGUGUCGGAAAAUUUUUGAAGAACUUGUCUAUUUCUGAGAUUUUCUGAAGUUUGUGCUGUGAAGGUUGAAAUCUCUCCAAUGUUUGAACAAAUUGAUCGGCUGGAAGUGCCGGUAACAAAACUAUCACUCCGUUGUAGGAUAGCGGAGCUAGUGGCAACGAAACAACCCCACAUCAGAGGCGUCGGACUUGCUAUUUGCAAUAAAAUCCCAACGAAUCACAUUAUCCAACAAACACACACACACAUCGAACCGAAGUACAUCUGACACCACUAAACCAAUCGGACGGAAAUCGGCAAAGUGUGUCCUGCGCAUCGCGGCCGUGAGGUGGACUCACUCACCCCAGCAAGCAAAACCCAUCGCAGCAACGUGCAGCCUUCGGUAAUCGUACAUUGAACCGGGAACGAUCCACCGGAACGGACAAAACAGUGCGCGGGGAUGGCGAAUGAUGCUGGUUUUAGUGGAAUAUUUAGUUACAUCAUAAUAGCUAAUACGCCCUGUAAUCUUAUUGCUUUUGGCAGGUUAAAGUUUCCUAUGUCAACUGAGGGUUUUUUCUUGUUGCUGUUGUUCAUUGUUGGCUGCUGCUGGCUUGCUGGUUGGCUCACCCCACUCGCACCGGGAACUGAUUUGUAUUUAAUCCGUAGCCUUAAUUAGAUUUCACUCCUGCCCCUUCUGUCACGCCCCCACUUCAACUGCAGCAAGGACGUGUGGGCACGUGCGGUCGACGGUUGCUUCAUUCCUUCUCCUCGUUCGAUAGGCAAUCGAUACCGAAUCCGUAUCCACCGCUGUCAUAUAUCUCUCUCUCUCUCUCUCUCUCUCUCUCUCUCUCUAUCUUUCUCUCUCUCUCUCUCUGCCUCCGCUUUGCCCUGUAUUUGAUGCUCCUCUUUCAAUCGCCACGGACUCGGCCACGGCAAUAAGAUUCGCUACGACGCUUCGCUGCAAAUGGUCCGGAAUUUCCUUCCUUGUUUUGCUUCCUUCGUCAAGUUCGCUUGACCGCUGCCGAGGGAUCACCAGGCUAUCGAGUGGAAAGCAGGGCUGUAGCACAGUGGCACAAAAAUAAAAAUAAAAUAAA